rnacentral:rRNA from 1 species
CCUACGGGAGGCAGCAGUGGGGAAUAUUGCGCAAUGGGCGAAAGCCUGACGCAGCGACGCCGCGUGAGGGAUGAAGGUCUUCGGAUCGUAAACCUCUGUCAGCAGGGAAGAACGGUCACUGUGCUAAUCAGCAGUGCAUUGACGGUACCUGCACAGGCAGCACCGGCUAACUCCGUGCCAGCAGCCGCGGUAAUACGGAGGGUGCGAGCGUUAAUCGGAAUUACUGGGCGUAAUGCGCUCGUAGGCGGUAUGUCAAGUCAAGGGUGAAAUCCCCGCGCUCAACGUGGGAACUGCCUUGGAAACUGGCGAACUGGAGGGCGGGAGAGGAUAGUGGAAUUCCAGGUGUAGGAGUGAAAUCCGUAGAUAUCUGGAGGAACAGCAGUGGCGAAGGCGACUAUCUGGCACAUAACUGACGCUGAGGAGCGAAAGCGUGGGUAGCAAACAGGAUUAGAUACCCGUGUAGUC